AAAGAGAUGGCGGGCCUCCGUGCCCCCGUCCCCAACCCUUUGCUGACCAAACCACUUUUGCCUCGGGGGCGGAGCGGUCUCCGCAGCCCCCGGUGGACCAUUUAACCCUGUCUCUGUACGUCGGAGUCUUUGAUAAAUAAAUGA
rnacentral:misc_RNA from 1 species